UUCGCAAUGCCCGAAAGGGUGAACGAGCGACGCCGCGUGCGGGAUGAAGGGUUUCGGCUUGUAAACCGCUUUUCUUUGGGAAGAAGGUCUGUCUCGUGCAGAUGGGCUCGACGGUACCAGAGGAAUAAGCCUCGGCUAACUUCGUGCCAGCAGCCGCGGUAAGACGAAGGUGGCGAGCGUUGUUCGGAAUCACUGGGCAUAAAGCGCACGUAGGCGGCGGCGUAAGUCGGGUGUGAAAUCCCUCGGCCCAACCGAGGAACUGCGCCCGAUACUGCGUUGCUUGAGGGCCAAAGGGGUGCAUGGAAUUCCCGGUGGAGCGGUGAAAUGCGUUGAGAUCGGAAGGAACGCCCGUGGCGAAAGCGAGGUCCUGGACGUCUGCUGACGCUGAGACGCGAAAGCUAGGGGAGCAAACGGGAUUAGAUACCCCGGUAGUCCUAGCCGUAAACGAUGGGCACUAAGUAGAGGGGUUUU
rnacentral:rRNA from 1 species